rnacentral:rRNA from 1 species
ACGGAAGGCAGCAGUGGGGAAUAUUGCACAAUGGGGGAAACCCUGAUGCAGCGACGCCGCGUGAACGAUGAAGUAUUUCGGUAUGUAAAGUUCUAUCAGCAGGGAAGAUAAUGACGGUACCUGACUAAGAAGCACCGGCUAAAUACGUGCCAGCAGCCGCGGUAAUACGUAUGGUGCAAGCGUUAUCCGGAUUUACUGGGUGUAAAGGGAGCGUAGGCGGCGCAGCAAGUCAGAUGUGAAACCCCGGGGCUUAACCUCGGGACUGCAUUUGAAACUGCAGUGCUAGAGUGCGGGAGAGGUAAGCGGAAUUCCUAGUGUAGCGGUGAAAUGCGUAGAUAUUAGGAAGAACACCAGUGGCGAAGGCGGCUUACUGGACCGUAACUGACGCUGAGGCUCGAAAGCGUGGGGAGCAAACAGGAUUAGAUACCCUGGUA